GACGAACGCUGGCGGCGUGCUUAACACAUGCAAGUCGAACGAUGAAGCCUAGCUUGCUAGGUGGAUUAGUGGCGAACGGGUGAGUAAUACGUGAGUAACCUACCUUUAACUCUGGGAUAAGCCUGGGAAACUGGGUCUAAUACCGGAUACGACCAAUCUCCGCAUGGGGUGUUGGUGGAAAGCGUUAUGUAGUGGUUAUAGAUGGGCUCACGGCCUAUCAGCUUGUUGGUGAGGUAACGGCUCACCAAGGCGACGACGGGUAGCCGGCCUGAGAGGGUGACCGGCCACACUGGGACUGAGACACGGCCCAGACUCCUACGGGAGGCAGCAGUGGGGAAUAUUGCACAAUGGGCGCAAGCCUGAUGCAGCGACGCCGCGUGAGGGAUGACGGCCUUCGGGUUGUAAACCUCUGUUAGCAGGGAAGAAGAGAGAUUGACGGUACCUGCAGAGAAAGCGCCGGCUAACUACGUGCCAGCAGCCGCGGUAGUACGUAGGGCGCGAGCGUUGUCCGGAAUUAUUGGGCGUAAAGAGCUUGUAGGGCGGUUUGUCGCGUCUGCUGUGAAAGGCCGGAGCUUAACUCCGUGUAUUGCAGUGGGUACGGGCAGACUAGAGUGCAGUAGGGGAGACUGGAACUCCUGGUGUAGCGGUGGAAUGCGCAGAUAUCAGGAAGAACACCGAUGGCGAAGGCAGGUCUCUGGGCUGUAACUGACGCUGAGAGGCGAAAGCAUGGGGAGCGAACAGGAUUAGAUACCCUAGUAGUCCAUGCCGUAAACGUUGGGCACUAGGUGUGGGGGACAUUCCACGUUUUCCGCGCCGUAGCUAACGCAUUAAGUGCCCCGCCUGGGGAGUACGGCCGCAAGGCUAAAACUCAAAGAAAUUGACGGGGGCCCGCACAAGCGGCGGAGCAUGCGGAUUAAUUCGAUGCAACGCGAAGAACCUUACCAAGGCUUGACAUAUACUGGACCGCAUCAGAGAUGGUGUUUCCCUUCGGGGCUGGUAUACAGGUGGUGCAUGGUUGUCGUCAGCUCGUGUCGUGAGAUGUUGGGUUAAGUCCCGCAACGAGCGCAACCCUCGUUCUAUGUUGCCAGCACGUAAUGGUGGGGACUCAUAGGAGACUGCCGGGGUCAACUCGGAGGAAGGUGGGGAUGACGUCAAAUCAUCAUGCCCCUUAUGUCUUGGGCUUCACGCAUGCUACAAUGGCCGGUACAGAGGGUUGCGAUACUGUGAGGUGGAGCUAAUCCCUAAAAGCCGGUCUCAGUUCGGAUUGGGGUCUGCAACUCGACCCCAUGAAGUCGGAGUCGCUAGUAAUCGCAGAUCAGCAACGCUGCGGUGAAUAAGGUCCCGGGCCU
rnacentral:rRNA from 1 species